GGACAGGAAGUCUAGCCUGCUGGCGUCCAUUUGUUCCUCCUCUAAAGAAGAAUAGCUCCGGGACCUUCCAACAAAACACACCUGAAACGACCAAAGCAAACUGGCCAAAUGAAGGAAAAGCCGAUUACAGUAUGAAUCCUUUACAAAAUUUGGAGCAUUAAAGUAAUAAUGGGCAUUUGAAGCAUGUGAUGCAAGGCAACAACCAACACAAGCCAAAGAACAAAGAAUUGAUUGUUCAAGCAAAAAACCUUGUCUUACCCCUUCAGAGUUAAGUAUAUGUACCAGAAGACCAUUGCCGCAGCCAAGGUCAACAAACCUCUGUUUCCUAGGCAACCCCGACCUCUCUGUUUCCCCUCUCCACAGACACUGACCAGUAAGAAAUACGUGAAACAAGUGUGAUUACAAACAAAAACAUUUGUGAACAAGACAUAAAGA